rnacentral:rRNA from 3 species
UCUCCUGGAAAAGGGUGGUAAUGCCGGAUGCUCCAGUUGAUCGCAUGGUCUUCUGGGAAAGCUUUCGCGGUAUGGGAUGGGGUCGCGUCCUAUCAGCUUGACGGCGGGGUAACGGCCCACCGUGGCUUCGACGGGUAGCCGGCCUGAGAGGGCGACCGGCCACAUUGGGACUGAGAUACGGCCCAGACUCCUACGGGAGGCAGCAGUGGGGAAUAUUGCACAAUGGGCGCAAGCCUGAUGCAGCGACGCCGCGUGAGGGAUGGAGGCCUUCGGGUUGUAAACCUCUUUUAUCGGGGAGCAAGCGAGAGUGAGUUUACCCGUUGAAUAAGCACCGGCUAACUACGUGCCAGCAGCCGCGGUAAUACGUAGGGUGCAAGCGUUAUCCGGAAUUAUUGGGCGUAAAGGGCUCGUAGGCGGUUCGUCGCGUCCGGUGUGAAAGUCCAUCGCUUAACGGUGGAUCCGCGCCGGGUACGGGCGGGCUUGAGUGCGGUAGGGGAGACUGGAAUUCCCGGUGUAACGGUGGAAUGUGUAGAUAUC